rnacentral:rRNA from 1 species
GACGAACGCUGGCGGCGUGCCUAAUACAUGCAAGUCGAGCGCAGGAAGCUGACGGAACUCUUCGGAGAGAAGGCAGUGGAAUGAGCGGCGAACGGGUGAGUAACACGUAAGGAACCUGCCUCAAGGAUUGGGAUAACUCCGAGAAAUCGGAGCUAAUACCGGAUAGUUCAACGGACCGCAUGGUCCGCUGAUGAAAGGCGCUUCGGCGUCACCUUGAGAUGGCCUUGCGGUGCAUUAGCUAGUUGGUGGGGUAACGGCCCACCAAGGCGACGAUGCAUAGCCGACCUGAGAGGGUGAUCGGCCACACUGGGACUGAGACACGGCCCAGACUCCUACGGGAGGUAGCAGUAGGGAAUCUUCCACAAUGGACGAAAGUCUGAUGGAGCAACGCCGCGUGAGUGAUGAAGGUUUUCGGAUCGUAAAACUCUGUUGUAAGGGAAGAACACGUACGAGAGGGAAUGCUCGUACCUUGACGGUACCUUACGAGAAAGCCACGGCUAACUACGUGCCAGCCGCCGCGGUAA